UUCAACGGCCGCGGUAUCCUAACCGUGCAAAGGUAGCGUAAUCACUUGUUUUCUAAAUAAAGACUAGUAUGAAAGGCAUCACGAGGGCUAAACUGUCUCCCUUUUCUAAUCCGUGAAUCUAACCUCCCCGUGAAAAGGCGGGGAUUUUUUUAUAAGACGAGAAGACCCUAUGGAGCUUAAAACACUACUACACCUGCCCACACAUCUUCACCCACAGUUCUUAACCCUAUGCAGAAUGUCCAUAUGUUUUCGGUUGGGGUGACCACGGAGAAAAUUCAUCCUCCGUAACGAAAGAGUUACUCUUAACAACAAGCCACAGCUUUAUGUAUCAACAAAUUGACAUCCAUUGACCCAAUACAUUGAUUAAUGAACCAAGUUACCCUAGGGAUAACAGCGCAAUCCACUUUGAAAGCCCCUAUUGACAAGUGGGCUUACGACCUCGAUGUUGGAUCAGGGUACCCAAGUGGUGCA
rnacentral:rRNA from 1 species